rnacentral:rRNA from 1 species
CCUACGGGUGGCUGCAGUCGAGGAUCUUCGGCAAUGGGCGCAAGCCUGACCGAGCGACGCCGCGUGUGGGAUGAAGGCCUUCGGGUUGUAAACCACUGUCGGGGGGGAUGAAAUACCUAAGGGUUCUCUCUUAGGCUUGACAUAUCCUCGGAGGAAGGACGGGCUAAGUUCGUGCCAGCAGCCGCGGUAAGACGAACCGUCCAAACGUUAUUCGGAAUUACUGGGCUUAAAGGGUGCGUAGGCGGCGCGGAAAGUAGGGUGUGAAAUCCCUCGGC